GAUGAACGCUGGCGGCGUGCCUAAUACAUGCAAGUCGAGCGAACGGACGAGAAGCUUGCUUCUCUGAUGUUAGCGGCGGACGGGUGAGUAACACGUGGAUAACCUACCUAUAAGACUGGGAUAACUUCGGGAAACCGGAGCUAAUACCGGAUGAUAUUUUGAACCGCAUGGUUCAAAAGUGAAAGACGGUCUUGCUGUCACUUAUAGAUGGAUCCGCGCUGCAUUAGCUAGUUGGUAAGGUAACGGCUUACCAAGGCAACGAUGCAUAGCCGACCUGAGAGGGUGAUCGGCCACACUGGAACUGAGACACGGUCCAGACUCCUACGGGAGGCAGCAGUAGGGAAUCUUCCGCAAUGGGCGAAAGCCUGACGGAGCAACGCCGCGUGAGUGAUGAAGGUCUUCGGAUCGUAAAACUCUGUUAUUAGGGAAGAACAUAUGUGUAAGUAACUGUGCACAUCUUGACGGUACCUAAUCAGAAAGCCACGGCUAAGUACGUG
rnacentral:rRNA from 1 species